AGUGAACGCUGGCGGUAGGCCUAACACAUGCAAGUCGAACGGCAGCACAGUAAGAGCUUGCUCUUACGGGUGGCGAGUGGCGGACGGGUGAGGAAUACAUCGGAAUCUACUUUUUCGUGGGGGAUAACGUAGGGAAACUUACGCUAAUACCGCAUACGACCUACGGGUGAAAGCAGGGGAUCUUCGGACCUUGUGCGAUUGAAUGAGCCGAUGUCGGAUUAGCUAGUUGGCGGGGUAAAGGCCCACCAAGGCGACGAUCCGUAGCUGGUCUGAGAGGAUGAUCAGCCACACUGGAACUGAGACACGGUCCAGACUCCUACGGGAGGCAGCAGUGGGGAAUAUUGGACAAUGGGCGCAAGCCUGAUCCAGCCAUACCGCGUGGGUGAAGAAGGCCUUCGGGUUGUAAAGCCCUUUUGUUGGGAAAGAAAAGCAGCAGGUUAAUACCCCGCUGUUCUGACGGUACCCAAGGAAUAAGCACCGGCUAACUUCGUG
rnacentral:rRNA from 1 species